rnacentral:hammerhead_ribozyme from 1 species
AUCCAGCUGACGAGUCCCGAACAGGACAAAACUCGCAUCUUGGAU